CCUACGGGUGGCAGCAGUGAGGAAUAUUGGUCAAUGGGCGGGAGCCUGAACCAGCCAAGCCGCGUGAGGGAUGACGGCUCUAUGGGUUGUAAACUUCUUUUGCAGGGGAGCAAAUCGCGGCACGUGUGCGGUUUGGAGAGUAUCCGGCGAAUAAGCAUCGGCUAACUCCGUGCCAGCAGCCGCGGUAAUACGGAGGAUUCGAGCGUUAUCCGGAUUUAUUGGGUUUAAAGGGUGCGUAGGGGGACGAUUAAGUUAGAGGUAAAAUUGCGGGGCUCAACCUCGUCGAGCCGUUGAAACUGGGGGGCUAGAGUGGGCGAGAAGUACGCGGAAUGCGUGGUGUAGCGGUGAAAUGCAUAGAGAUCACGCAGAACACCGAUUGCGAAGGCAGCUUACC
rnacentral:rRNA from 1 species